rnacentral:rRNA from 3 species
CGCGAAUGGCUCAUUACAACAGCCGUCGUUUCUUGGAUCUCUCGAUCUACUUGGAUAACUGUGGUAAUUCUAGAGCUAAUACACGCCUUGAAGCUCUGACCUUCGGGGACGAGCGCAUUUAUUAGAACAAAACCAAUGGGGUUCGCCCCUCGGUUGGUGACUCUGAAUAACUACUCCGAUCGCACGGUCUCGCACCGGCGACGCAUCUUUCAAGUGUCUGCCUUAUCAACUGUCGAUGGUAGUUUAUGUGCCUACCAUGGUUGUAACGGGUAACGGAGAAUAAGGGUUCGACUCCGGAGAGGGAGCCCGAGAAACGGCUACCACAUCCAAGGAAGGCAGCAGGC